rnacentral:rRNA from 1 species
AGCAGCCGCGGUAAUUCCAGCUCCAAUAGCGUAUAUUAAAGUUGUUGCAGUUAAAAAGCUCGUAGUUGAAUUUCGGGAUCAGUUGGUCGGUCGUGCCUCGGUACGUACUGGUCAAAUUGAUUCCUACCUUCUGACGAACCACGAUGUCAUUAAUUUGGUGUCGUGGGAAAUCAGGACUGUUACUUUGAAAAAAUUAGAGUGUUUAAAGCAGGCUCGCGCUUGAAUACAUUAGCAUGGAAUAAUGAAAUAGGACGUUUGAUUCUAUUUUGUUGGUUUCUAGGAUCGACGUAAUGAUUAAUAGGGAUAGUUGGGGGCAUUAGUAUUCAAUUGUCAGAGGUGAAAUUCUUGGAUUUAUUGAAGACUAACUACUGCGAAAGCAUUUGCCAAGGAUGUUUUCAUUAAUCAAGAACGAAAGUUAGGGGAUCGAAGACGAUCAGAUACCGUCGUAGU